UACGUAGGGGCUAGCGUUAUCCGGAAUUACUGGGCGUAAAGGGUGCGUAGGUGGUUUCUUAAGUCAGAGGUGAAAGGCUACGGCUCAACCGUAGUAAGCCUUUGAAACUGGGAAACUUGAGUGCAGGAGAGGAGAGUGGAAUUCCUAGUGUAGCGGUGAAAUGCGUAGAUAUUAGGAGGAACACCAGUUGCGAAGGCGGCUCUCUGGACUGUAACUGACACUGAGGCACGAAAGCGUGGGGAUCAAACAGGAUUAGAUACCCGUGUAGUCCCUGAG
rnacentral:rRNA from 1 species